UGCUGUACUCAAAUGCGUACGCAAGCAUUUUAUAAUUCCACUUGAAAAUGCUGCUGAUGAUGUUGAUGAUAAUAUAUGGAUGGUGGGCUAGUUGUUGGAAAAUGCAGUUGGUCUUGCUGAAGAGUUGAGUAGUGAACCAAGGAGGGAAACGAAGUGCACCAAAUGUGUGAAGCAUCCAAAAGAGGGCGGAUGUCGUCAGUGCGAAUAUAUGCCUGAAGGGGCCGUACAAAAAAAUAUGAAGAAAAAAAAAGGGAGGAACUCAUUAAAAUAAAUAAACGAUGUCAUGCAUAAUAGUUGAAAAAUACUCUUAUAUACGCAAAUCCAUGUUGUGUAUAUUAUUGUCGAUGGUUUGUCAAAAGUGCGUUAAAUUACCGGUUGGAAUUGCCAUGUCAAUGUACUCUUGCUUUGAAAACCAAAGAAGAAAAAAAAAAUACAUAAUUAAAUUCGAAAUUUACAUGAGAAGCAGAUAAUUUUGAAAAAUAUAAACUUGGAAAAAAAAAAGAUGCAGCAGAUCUUGUAGUUCAUUGUCUACGAUAUAUGCAAGGGGUUUUUCGCAAGCACGAGAUUGAGAGUAUUGUGAUGUUGACUUGUGGCUAAAGUCUUAUUGCUUGAUUCCAAAUUUUUUUAAACUAUUAUAAUUGUGAAAAGUAUUCUAAAUAUAUUGACUGUUGGCAAAGGAUCAAGGCGUCAUGAGACAAGAGGACGAGAUAGAGAGAUUGCGGAAAAUGUUGAUGGUAAAAUCGAGGUGACGCACAGUCACCCAUCUUUUAUGCCAACUAUAUCCAGCACCAUCAAACCGAAUGAGGAAAUUAAUUGGGCAAUGCGGAAGUUUGCCAACGAUGGUCCAGCAACGCAAUGGAAAGAGAAUUGGUUGGAGGUUUUGUUGAAGCUGUACUGUACACUACUGCCUACUACUGCCUGGCUGAUAGGGCGUAUAAAUACAUGUGGUUUUUUUAAUCACAGUAGCAGACAGAGGAAGCAAUGAAAGAUGAUUAUAUGUCUCUUCGAUACAUAUCUGUUUAACCACAAAAGUUUCACAUUGUGUGUAUAUUGACAAAAUGACGUUAUAAUUGCUGCUGCAGCAUGCUGUUGAACUUGCCUUGUGGUCGAUCCCCUCAUCGAAUACGAUCUUCUUGGACGACUUGGCAUCAUUGAAAGAAUGGCAGGGCCAUUUUGAGGUGGGGUGAUGCGUAACGACGUCGUUAACGCGGGCAUUUGAACCAACCGAAAAUCCCGGAACAUGAACUGCUGCAGCGAUUGACCAGAGAACCAUUAUUCCAAAUGUUGGAGAAAAUAAAAAACAAA